ACCAGGAUGGCAGAGUGGUUAAGGCGUUGGACUUAAGUUCCAAUGUACGAAUGUACGCGUGGGUUCGAACCCCACUCCUGGUA
rnacentral:tRNA from 2 species